CUUCUGCUAGGCUGCUUAGCUACCACUAGCCUUUUACUACCCAGCUGCAGAUAAACUAAAACAUGUAUAUAUGAACAUGAAUUCCCUAACCAUAUAAACUAAAACGCCUCCGAUGAUCGAACCAUAUCUUGGUCCAUCGAUUUAAGUGGAAACCAAUGAUCAGUUGUUUUAUUUUAUUUAUUAUAUUUAUAGAACAAUUACUCCCUCGGUUCUAUAAUAUAAUGUACAACCACUUUCUUUAUAUGUUCCAUAAUAUAAGGCAUGCAUUCAAUUAAUUAUGACAUCUUCUUCAUUAAAUUAUUAAUUUUUUAAACAAUUCACUCUCACAUUCUCUAAUUCUAUUGGAUGCAUGCAUUAUAUUUAUUAGGAUGAUCCAAACUACAAGAUGAUAAUAACUAUUUCUUUAUCUUUGGGUUAAUGUUGGUUGUGCCUUAUAUUUUGGAACGGAGGGAGUAAUUUAUUAGAGUCACGUGACAACUUAGGUGUAUUUUGUCGGAACACUACUACUAAUAGUCUCAGUUUACUUGUAGUCAACUACUGUUGGUUGUAGCUUGGUGGCAUACUCUACCUACCUAUCAGUUGUUGAUGUUACUCGCGGAGUAUCGUUCUUUAUCUUUGGUGCUAGAUGACAUGCAUGCAUGCUCAUUGGAUAUCAGCUGAUUCUUAUAUUAGGUACAUUGUGCAUGAAAUGUCUUGUAAGCAAUAUGACUUAUUAGCGAUCGGUGGAUAGUGGUUUGUAUGUAGAACUCGUAUACGUGGGGAUUAGUGAGGACAUACGAUUCCACAUGUGGAGGGGAGUAUCGUGGUGGGUAUACCUGAUUUUUUUUCUUUGAGAUGGAGAUCUAAUGGGUAAAAUUAGUAGGUCCACCGAUUUUUUUUUCCUAAUUUAUUAGAACACCAUGUGGCGGUUUACGAGCGUUUGUAGGAGACCACAUGGCGGCUUGGGAGUUUUUGUAGGAAGUUAAUUUAAUGAACUUUUAGUAUAUGAUAGAUAGAUAUAGAUGUACGUUUACACCAGGUCACAUUUUCUCUGCUGUUUCCUAAUUGGUUUUACUUUCAUGCCUAGUUAAUUAAUUAUAUUAGCUAUAGGGUUAAACCAAUCUGCAUGAGCACACAGACAGUAAAGUGGAGGAGGGGAUUAGCUAACAGUUGCUUGCACAAGCAGGUGGACAGAAAGACAUGCAUUCGCUUUAAUCACACUGCUCUGAAUGUGACAUUUCUGUCAUGCCGCUCAUGCAUGAUUAGUGGCCGGAGUAGGAGUACACGUUACUAGUGGAAGGAGAAAAUCUUGUUGUCGGAGGCUGCCGCGAACGGGUCAUGUGCACACUUAAUUACCGUGUAGUCACGUCCAAAUUCCAAAAACAUAGUAAGACGUUGAAGAGGAUAUUGAGCAAAAUUCGCAUACAUUAUAUUAAUUAUUAUACUCACGUCACAUGGGCUGGAGCCUAUUUAUACGGAGGAGGAGCAAAGGAUCGGAUGAAAUCGACCAAGAUGACGAAGAUAGCAGGUGUUCUUAUUUUAGUUCUUGUUAUCUGUCCAACUAUUACUUCCGCUACCGAAACCCGGGGAGGCCGGGAUGACGACCUUAGUGACGACAAAAUCUGGACAUCUCUGAUUGCAUUCCACUAUCCUGGAUUGGUGGUUCCGCCAAUCUGCAUCGAGGACAUUGCAAAGAAAUGCGGGUGGAAUAAUCUGACCCCUGCAUGCGUGAUGGAAGAGAUGGACAGCUGCCACUAAGGCGACCACCGGCCACUCUCCAUCAGUCUCAGGCUGACAGGCUCUCAGCCAUAAUAAUUAAUAAGCUGUAAUAAGGGGCCUAAUUAAUAUGUACUACUUCAUGCCUCUGAUUUUGAUUGCAAGCACCACUAGCCAUGCAUGCAUGUCGUAUAUUCUAAUAGAAUUAAUUAAUGGUAAUAAUAUAAAGCUAGCUAGAUGUGCCUGUGGGUUUGAUUUUUAA